rnacentral:rRNA from 1 species
CAUCUUUUCUUGUUAGUUUUUGAAGUAUGGCCUGCCCGCUGAUUUUAGGUUGAAGGGCCGCGGUAUUUUGACCGUGCAAAGGUAGCAUAAUCAUUAGUUCUUUAAUUGUGAUCUGGUAUGAAUGGCUUGACGAGGCAUGGGCUGUCUUGGAUUGGAAUUGUUUAUUGAAUUUGGUUUUUGAGUUAGAAUUCUUAAAUGUUUUUAUGGGACGAGAAGACCCUAUAGAGUUUAACAUUUAUUUAUAUAGCUUGUUUAUAGGUUUGUUUUGUAGUUGCUUUGUGUUAAUGUGUUUUGUUGGGGUGAUGGGAAGAAUUUUCUUAACUCUUCUUUAUUUUGGUAUAUUGAUUUAUAUUGGUUUUGAUCCAUUUAUUUUGAUUAUAAGAUUAAAUUACCUUAGGGAUAACAGCGUUAUCCUCCUUGAGAGUUCUUAUUGGCGGGAGGGUUUGCGACCUCGAUGUUGGAUUAAGGUUGAUUUUUGGUGUAGGAGCUGAAUUGAUUAGGUCUGUUCGACCUUUAAAAUCUUACGUGAUCU